CAAAAUUCCAAGCUAUAGCUCUCCAACUUAAAGAGCCUUCAUAUAGUAAUGAUUCAUAAUUUUCACAAAUACAUAGAGAAGUAAAAAGGAAAGAUAGAGAAGUAUCAUAUAUGAGAGUAUGAGUCAUUACGUUGUACCAAAAUGGAAUCUAAGGCACCAAAGACAAGAACAAGUCGAAGGAGAAGAGGGAAACAGAUCUUCUCACGUGCAGAAUCACAGUAGUUGUAGUAAUAGUACUCAUCUAGUCCCCAUUAGAUCGAGAUUUAAUAACAAAGUUAAGGAGCUAACGUGGGAGAAUGGCCAGCUAGCCAUGCAUGGGCUUGAUGGACUACUUCCCUCAGGCCCAACAAAGCCUACAUGGGGUACAAAUUGUGAGACACUAGAAUCUAUAGUCCACCAAGCUACAACAUGCAACAAUCAAGUUCAAGACCCCUAUGUGACAUAUCAUGGACAGACCCCGGCCACCAUAACCUUCGAAACUGAUGCAACUUCUAGCGGAAAACGGGUCGAGAACGCCUUCAUGGCCCCGCCGGUGAUGAGAAAGCGAAAUCAGUCAAAUUCCAACAAUGAAGGGAAGAAUUUAAGUAGCCAUAAUUGUAGCAUUCAAGAAGAGCAAGGAGGCCCAAGUGCUUGUGCUAGUGCUAGUACAACAUUUUGCAAGGAAAGUGACACAACUCUGAUGACAUGGGCUUCCUUUGAAUCUCCCCAAAGCUUGAAGAACAAAAGUACCGAUGAGGAUUCAGCCUGUCAUGAUGGCAUGGGAAACCAAGAUGAAGACCAAGAAACAAAAGGUGAAUCUGGACGCUCUAACUCAACAAGAAGAAGUCGUGCUGCUGCUAUUCAUAACCAAUCAGAAAGGAGGCGAAGAGAUAGGAUUAACCAGAAGAUGAAAGCCCUGCAAAAGUUGGUGCCAAAUGCAAGUAAGACAGAUAAGGCUUCAAUGCUUGAUGAGGUGAUUCACUACUUAAAGCAACUUCAAACUCAAGUUCAAGUGAUGAGCAGUUUGAGAAACAUGUCACCUCAAAUGGUGAUGUCUUUGGGAAUGCAACAACAACUUCAGAUGUCAAUGCUAGCCCGGAUGGGAAUGGGGAUGGGGAUGGGAAUGGGAAUGGGAAUGGGAAUGGGAAUGCUUGACAUGAGCUCAAUGGCAAGAUCUUCACCUCCGUCUCUCUCUUCAGUCAUCCACCCUACUGCAGCCACCACCACCGGUUCAACAUUUGUUCCACCGCCGUUUAUGGUGCCACCGAUACUUAUGGCUCAGGGUGCAAAGCCUGGCCCUGCAGACACCUCCACUUCUUCUUCGGUUUCUUUACCUGAUCCUUAUUGUGCUCUUAUGGCACAACCAGUGAAUAUGGAGCUUUACAACAAGAUGGCAGCAGCAUUGUACGGUCAACAAGUUAAUCAGACUAGACAGGCAGCAAAAAGUCCUAAGUUUAGUACUCAUGUUCAAGAUUAAAAAUUACUAAUAGUGAAAAAUUCAAAAUAUUUUAAAGCAUUCUAGAAGCUUGGAUUACACAAUGUUUGUAUUUCAUGAUUAUUGAUAUGUAGUGAUGGUCCCUUACUAAGAAUUUGUAAUAGAAUUCUUCAAAGAAUGGAACAUGUUAAGUAUAUACUAAAUAUAUCUUAUCUGAUCUUUAAGUUA